GUUCCUUCAAGAGCAAGUGAAAGCUAGUGAAGAGGAAACAAACAGUACAGUUUAAAUCCCAUUAUAGAGGUAUUGAGAGGAUGCGUUGGGAGCAGGCAAGAAGAAUUACCAUGGGAAAAUCUGAGAAACAUUUUUAAGGGGAUGAAGAAUAGGAAAUUAUCGUAAGACACACUGGGAGAGAUACUGCUCAUGUCAAUUGGAAGAGCAACAUAAAAACAUGAAGAUGGCAACAAGGGGCUACUUCUGGGCAUCCUGUGAGUCAAGAUGCUGAGACAUACAGUUUCACUUAUUUUUGACAUCCUGAAGGCAACUGGAUGUUUCAAGUUCAGAUGAUGAGAAAGGUCUCCAUAAAGUGGUGUCUUUAAGAGUUGAUUGGGCUCCUUCCUCCUGAGUGGGUUUAAGUACCUAACAAAAGAGGCUUCAAGCAGUAUUCAGCUCUCUUGCCCUUCCGCUCUCUGCUAUGUGAAGACACAGUGUUCCUCCCCUCUCCCUUCUGGAAGACACAGCGACAAUGUGCCAUAUCGGAAGGAAGCAGAGAACAUCCCUCACCAAAUAAUCAAUCCUGCUGGUGCCUUAAUUAUGAACUUCUCAGCCUGCAGAACUCAUGAAGGCCAUCAUCGGAUGUGGGCUGAUUGAUCUUGGACUUCCAAGCCUCCAGAACUAGAACUACUCCACCAUCAUCUGAUGUGGUUCUGAUGGCUGUGUGUUUCUCAGCUUUAUCCUCAGCCUGUGGGUAAUUUAAAAUAAAUACUUUUGCAAGUGAACCAAUAGAAAUAUUUCACUGUCAUUGGGCAGAAAGCUAAAAACCUAAUUACGUUGGAAGUAGGAAGAGGAAGUAAGUAUGGUUGGAAGAGGUGGAGUCUGGUGCUGCCAGAGCAGAAAGCACAAAGAAGAACGUGCUUUUAGGUGGGUGCCCUAAGAGACAUGAUAAGUGAAAAAGGGAUAGUAAAAUAGAAGAUGACCAUUGAAACCAGACAAAUUCACCAUUUCCAAGCUGUGUGGCUUUGAACAACUCAUUUAGCCUAUCAACAUUUUUGUUUCCUCAUUUGUAAAAUG
rnacentral:lncRNA from 1 species